rnacentral:Y_RNA from 1 species
AGUUGGUCCGAGUGCAGUGGUGUUUACAACUAAUUGAUCACAACCAGUUACAGAUUCCUUUGUUCCUUCUCCACUCCCACUGCUCCACUUGACCAGCCUUUA